rnacentral:rRNA from 1 species
UAUUAAGUUAUUAAGGGCGCAUGGUGGAUGCCUUGGCACUAGAAGCCGAUGAAGGACGUUACUAACGACGAUAUGCUUUGGGGAGCUGUUAGUAAGCUUUGAUCCAGAGAUUUCCGAAUGGGGAAACCCUGCAUGAGUUAUGUCAUGUUAUCGAUAUGUGAAUACAUAGCAUAUCAGAAGGCACACCCGGAGAACUGUAACAUCUUAGUACCCGGAGGAAGAGAAAGAAAAUUCGAUUCCCUUAGUAGCGGCGAGC